AGAGUUUGAUCCUGGCUCAGGACGAACGCUGGCGGCGUGCCUAACACAUGCAAGUCGAACGAAGCUUGACGAACUAUUCUUCGGAUGAAUUCUGAUAUGACUGAAUGGCGGACGGGUGAGUAACGCGUGAGCUACCUGCCCUUCAUAGGGGGAUAGUGUCUGGACACAGACAGCACUACCGCAUAAUGUACAUUGAUGGCAUCUUCCAUGUGCCAAAGCUUUUGCGCUGAACGAUGGACUCGCGUCUAAUAAGAUAUUGGGUGGGGUACAGCCCUCCCAAGUGGCCAAUCAGUACCCGCAUUAAGAGGUUGUACGCCCCCUUUGGGAUUGAGACACGGCCCAGAUUCUUACGGGAGCCACCAGUGGGGAAUAUUGCCCAAUGGGCGCAACCUUGACCCAGCACCGCGGCGUGGAGGAAGACGGUUUUCGGAUUGUAAACUCCUGUUCUUAGUGAAGAAUAAUGACGGUACCUAAGGAACAAGCCACGGCUAACUACGUGCCAGCAGCCGCGGUAAUACGUAGGUGGCAAGCGUUGUCCGGAAUUACUGGGUGUAAAGGGAGCGCAGGCGGGGGAGCAAGUCAGCUGUGAAAUCCAUGGGCUUAACCCGUGAACUCGCAUUUGAAACUGCUCCUCUUGAGUGAAGUAGAGGUAGUCGGAAUUCCGAGUGUAGCGGUGAAGUGCGUAGAUAUUCGGAGGAACACCGGUGGCGAAGGCGGCCAACUGGGCUUCAACUGACGCUGAGGCUCGAAAGUGUGGGGAGCAACCAGAAUUAGAUCCCCUGGUAGUCCCCCCGGUAACCGAUGAUAACUGGGUGUAGGGGGUCUCACCCCUUGUGUCCCGCAGCUAACGCAAUAAUUUAUCCACGUGGGGAGUACGGCCGCAAGGUUGAAACUCAAAGGAAUGGGCGGGGACCCGCACGAGCAGUGGAUUAUGUGGUUUAAUUAGAAGCAGCGCGAAGAACCUUGCCAAGUCUUGACAUCCUGCGACGGUUCGGGAAACAGUACUCUCCUCCGGGAAGCAGAGACAGGCGGGGCAUGGUUGUCGUCAGCUCGUGUCGUGAGAUGUUGGGUUAAGUCCCGCAACCAGCCCCACCCUUAAGGUCAGUUCGUUCGCAAGAGGCCUUUGGCCAGACCUCCGUUGGCAAAACGGGGGGAGGGGGGGAAGACGUCAAAUCCUCCUGCCCCUUAUGACCUGGGCUACCCCCGUUCUUCAAUGGCGUUAAACAAAGGGGAGCAAGACCGCGAGGUGGAGCAAAACUCAGAAACAACGUCCCAGUUCGGACUGCAGGCUGCAACUCGCCUGCACGAAGUCGGAAUUGCUAGUAAUCGCAGAUCAGCAUGCUGCGGUGAAUACGUUCCCGGGCCUUGCACACAACGCCCGUCA
rnacentral:rRNA from 1 species